AGCAGCCGCGGUAAUUCCAGCUCCAAUAGCGUAUAUUAAAGUUGUUGCAGUUAAAAAGCUCGUAGUUGAAUUUCGGGGUUCUACCAUUGGUCGGGCAAUUGUCUGUACUGACGUGUGGAAUUUCUACCUUCUGGGGAACCAUCAUGUUAUUAAUUUAGCGUGGUGGGAAACCAGGACCUUUACCUUGAAAAAUUAGAGUGUUCAAAGCAGGCUUACGUCUGAAUACAUUAGCAUGGAAUAAUAAAAUAGGACGGUGGUCCUGUUUUGUUGGUUUCUGAAUCACCGUAAUGAUUAAUAGGGAUAGUUGGGGGCAUUAGUAUUCAAUUGUCAGAGGUGAAAUUCUUGGAUUUAUUGAAGACUAACUUCUGCGAAAGCAUUUGCCAAGGAUGUUUUCAUUAAUCAAGAACGAAAGUUAGGGGAUCGAAGACGAUCAGAUACCGUCGUAGUCUUAACCAUAAACUAUGCCGACUAGGGAUCGGACGAUGUUAAUUUUCUGACUCGU
rnacentral:rRNA from 1 species